AAAUUGCGAUAAGUAGUGUGAAUUGCAUUUAGUGAAUCAUCGAAUCUUUGAACGCACCCUGCACUCACUGGUAUUCCGGUGAGUACGCCUGUUUCAGUAUCAUUGAAAACACACAAUCAAAACAUUUUCUUUGGUUUGAUUGGCUUUGGGUCUAUCAAAAAGUUUGGCUUGUUUCUUACAAGCCAAGCGGCCUGAAAUAUAUUGUCUGGCUAAUUGCAUCGUUGAUGAUCGCUAUUAGACUUUGGCUUUUUUAAAUGAACUGGAGGUUGAUUAACCAGUUUUAGCUUUAGUCAAAUGGUCAUUGUAAAAAAAAUCUCGAUCUUGGCUAGGUGUUUAUAGCCGAAAAUUUUUUUUUGGCUAUAACCGAAACCAAUAUAAUCACAUUUAGUUAUCGAUCUGAAAUCAGGUGGGACUACCCGCUGAACUUAAGC
rnacentral:misc_RNA from 1 species